rnacentral:rRNA from 1 species
UACAGAGGUGGCAAGCGUUGUUCGGAAUUACUGGGCGUAAAGGGCGCGUAGGCGGCCUUCUAAGUCAGACGUGAAAUCCCCCGGCUUAACCUGGGAACUGCGUCUGAUACUGGAGGGCUUGAGUGCGGGAGAGGGAUGUGGAAUUCCAGGUGUAGCGGUGAAAUGCGUAGAUAUCAGGAGGAACACCGGUGGCGAAGGCGGAUCUCUGGGCCUUACCUGACGCUCAGGCGCGAAAGCUAGGGGAGCGAACAGG